GAUGAACGCUAGCUAUAGGCUUAACACAUGCAAGUCGAGGGGAAACGGCAAAGAGUGCUUGCACACUUUGGACGUCGACCGGCGCACGGGUGAGUAACGCGUAUCCAACCUGCCCUUUACUUGGGGAUAACCCGUUGAAAGACGGACUAAUACCCAAUGAUAUUCAUUGAUGACAUCUGAUUUGAAUUAAAGAUUUAUCGGUAUAGGAUGGGGAUGCGUCUGAUUAGCUUGUUGGUGAGGUAACGGCUCACCAAGGCCACGAUCAGUAGGGGUUCUGAGAGGAAGGUCCCCCACAUUGGAACUGAGACACGGUCCAAACUCCUACGGGAGGCAGCAGUGAGGAAUAUUGGUCAAUGGACGAGAGUCUGAACCAGCCAAGUAGCGUGCAGGAUGACGGCCCUAUGGGUUGUAAACUGCUUUUGUUUGGGAAUAAUCGACAUUACGUGUAAUGUUUUGCAUGUACCAUUCGAAUAAGGACCGGCUAAUUCCGUGCCAG
rnacentral:rRNA from 1 species